GUCUACCCCUUAGAAUAUCUUCUCCGGACAUUGAAACAGAAAUCUAAUACUUGUACUCCUAUUUGUUUGAUUUGCAAGUUUGGCUCUUCUGUUACACUU